rnacentral:rRNA from 1 species
UCCGGAGGGGGCUAACGUUGUUCGGAAUUACUGGGCGUAAAGCGCGCGUAGGCGGACUGUUAAGUCGGGGGUGAAAUCCCGAGGCUCAACCCCGGAACUGCCUUCGAUACUGGCGGUCUAGAGGUCUGGAGAGGUGAGUGGAAUUCCGAGUGUAGAGGUGAAAUUCGUAGAUAUUCGGAGGAACACCAGUGGCGAAGGCGGCUCACUGGCCAGAUUCUGACGCUGAGGUGCGAAAGCGUGGGGAGCAAACAGG